rnacentral:rRNA from 1 species
GACGAACGCUGGCGGCGUGCUUAACACAUGCAAGUCGAACGGAAAGGCCCUGCUUGCAGGGUACUCGAGUGGCGAACGGGUGAGUAACACGUGGGUGAUCUGCCCUGCACUUCGGAAUAAGCUUGGGAAACUGGGUCUAAUACCGGAUAGGAACCAUCUUUAGUGUGGUGGUUGGAAAGUUUUUUCGGUGUAGGAUGAGCUCGCGGCCUAUCAGCUUGUUGGUGGGGUAAUGGCCUACCAAGGCGGCGACGGGUAGCCGGCCUGAGAGGGUGUACGGCCACAUUGGGACUGAGAUACGGCCCAGACUCCUACGGGAGGCAGCAGUGGGGAAUAUUGCACAAUGGGCGCAAGCCUGAUGCAGCGACGCCGCGUGGGGGAUGAAGGCCUUCGGGUUGUAAACUCCUUUCGCUAGGGACGAAGCUUUGUUGUGACGGUACCUAGAUAAGAAGCACCGGCUAACUACGUG